AGUGAACGCUGGCGGUAGGCCUAACACAUGCAAGUCGAACGGCAGCACAGUAAGAGCUUGCUCUUACGGGUGGCGAGUGGCGGACGGGUGAGGAAUACAUCGGAAUCUACUUUUUCGUGGGGGAUAACGUAGGGAAACUUACGCUAAUACCGCAUACGACCUACGGGUGAAAGCAGGGGAUCUUCGGACCUUGCGCGAUUGAAUGAGCCGAUGUCGGAUUAGCUAGUUGGCGGGGUAAAGGCCCACCAAGGCGACGAUCCGUAGCUGGUCUGAGAGGAUGAUCAGCCACACUGGAACUGAGACACGGUCCAGACUCCUACGGGAGGCAGCAGUGGGGAAUAUUGGACAAUGGGCGCAAGCCUGAUCCAGCCACACCGCGUGGGUGAAGAAGACCUUCGGGUUGUAAAGCCCUUUUGUUGGGAAAGAAAAGCAGCAGGUUAAUACCCCGCUGUUCUGACGGUACCCAAAGAAUAAGCACCGGCUAACUUCGUG
rnacentral:rRNA from 1 species